AGGUGAUAUGAACCGUUAUAACCGGCGAUUUCCGAAUGGGGAAACCCAGUGUGAUUCGUCACACUAUCAUUAACUGAAUCCAUAGGUUAAUGAGGCGAACCGGGGGAACUGAAACAUCUAAGUACCCCGAGGAAAAGAAAUCAACCGAGAUUCCCCCAGUAGCGGCGAGCGAACGGGGAGGAGCCCAGAGCCUGAAUCAGUGUGUGUGUUAGUGGAAGCGUCUGGAAAGGCGCGCGAUACAGGGUGACAGCCCCG
rnacentral:rRNA from 1 species